rnacentral:rRNA from 1 species
UUGGAGGGCAAGUCUGGUGCCAGCAGCCGCGGUAAUUCCAGCUCCAAUAGCGUAUAUUAAAGUUGUUGCAGUUAAAAAGCUCGUAGUUGAAUUUCGGGGUCAGUAGGUUGGUCGUGCCACUGGUACGUACUGGUCUCACUGAUUCCUCCUUCCUGAUGAACCGUAAUGCCAUUAAUUUGGUGUUGCGGGGAAACUGGACUGUUACUUUGAAAAAAUUAGAGUGUUUAAAGCAGGCUAACGCUUGAAUACAUUAGCAUGGAAUAAUGAAAUAGGACGUUCGAUCCUAUUUUGUUGGUUUCUAGGAUUGACGUAAUGAUUAAUAGGGAUAGUUGGGGGCAUUAGUAUUCAAUUGUCAGAGGUGAAAUUCUUGGAUUUAUUGAAGACUAACUACUGCGAAAGCAUUUGCCAAGGAUGUUUUCAUUAAUCAAGAACGAAAGUUAGGGGAUCGAAGACGAUCAGAUACCGUCGUAGUCUUAACCAUAAACUAUGCCGACUAGGGAUCGGAUGAUGUUAAUUUUUUAAUGACUCAUUCGGCGCCUUACGGGAAACCAAAGUGUUUGGGUUC